GUAGGGUAACGGCUUACCAAGGCGACGAUGUCUAGGGGUUUUGAGAGGAGAAUCCCCCACCACUGGUACUGAGACACGGACCAGAUUCCUACGGGAGGCAGCAGUAAGGAAUAUUGGUCAAUGGGCGGAAGCCUGAACCAGCCAUGCCGCGUGCAGGAUGACUGCCCUAUGGGUUGUAAACUGCUUUUGUCCAGGAAUAAACCCAGAUACGUGUAUCUGGCUGAAUGUACUGGAAGAAUAAGGAUCGGCUAACUCCGUGCCAGCAGCCGCGGUAAUACGGAGGAUCCGAGCGUUAUCCGGAUUUAUUGGGUUUAAAGGGUGCGUAGGCGGCCAAUUAAGUCAGGGGUGAAAUACGGUGGCUCAACCAUCGCAGUGCCUUUGAUACUGAUUGGCUUGAAUCCAUUUGAAGUGGGCGGAAUAAGACAAGUAGCGGUGAAAUGCAUAGAUAUGUCUUAGAACUCCGAUUGCGAAGGCAGCUCACUAAGCUGGUAUUGACGCUGAUGCACGAAAGCGUGGGGAUCGAACAGGAUUAGAUACCCUGGUAGUCCACGCCCUAAACGAUGAUAACUCGAUGUUGGCGAUAGACAGCCAGCGUCCCAGCGAAAGCGUUAAGUUAUCCACCUGGGGAGUACGCCCGCAAGGGUGAAACUCAAAGGAAUUGACGGGGGCCCGCACAAGCGGAGGAGCAUGUGGUUUAAUUCGAUGAUACGCGAGGAACCUUACCCGGGCUUGAAAGUUAGUGAAGGAUGCAGAGACGCAUCCGUCCUUCGGGACACGAAACUAGGUGCUGCAUGGCUGUCGUCAGCUCGUGCCGUGAGGUGUUGGGUUAAGUCCCGCAACGAGCGCAACCCCUAUGUUUAGUUGCCAGCAUUUAAGGUGGGGACUCUAAACAGACUGCCUGCGCAAGCAGAGAGGAAGGUGGGGACGACGUCAAGUCAUCAUGGCCCUUACGUCCGGGGCUACACACGUGCUACAAUGGAUGGUACAGCGGGCAGCUACAUAGCAAUAUGAUGCUAAUCUCUAAAAGCCAUUCACAGUUCGGAUUGGGGUCUGCAACUCGACCCCAUGAAGUGGAUCG
rnacentral:rRNA from 1 species